CGCGGAGCAGCUUCCCCAGCUGGACCAUGCCGCUCCUCCGGAUGCUGCUGCGGUGGCGGCGGCGGCGCUGGAGGGAAGGCUGGUGGGCUCUCCUAAGUCCGGGCUUCUCGAGGUGGUCCUGGAUUCUAUAAGAAAGAAGGCUGAGCAAGCCAUAUGGAACAAGUCAGUCAGCAGCAGCAGCCCUCCAUGUCCUCUGAAUCAGCUCCCAUCUCCAGCUUCCUUCACUGUUUUGUUAAUAACUUCCUUCGGUGAUGGACUAUGAUGUAGAAGUGUAAGCCAAAGUUUGUAAGCCAAACCAUUUUUCUCCAACUUGCUUCUGAUCAUCAUGUUUCAUCACAGCAAUGGUAACCCUAAGAUAUCCCUCUUUUCUCUUUGCAUUCUCUCCAAACAUCUGGCAGCCAGCAUUAUGUCCCUUGUAGUACAUCGAUUGUGUUUGUAAGAUCCUUAAGGAUAUGAACUGGGAUGUUAGUUAUCUCUUCAUCAAGGACAAUAUUUUCAGUGGUGUUUGUAUCUAAGAUUUGCUCAUGUGUUGAGUGAAUCAAAACUGAUUCCCUUACUCUGCUGCUUUUACCUAGAAGCAACCAGAAACAAAAAUAAACAGAGAAGAAACAUGGA